UUAAGUCAGGCAACGAGCGAGACCCGCACUCCUAAUUGCCAGCAUGUCCCUUGCGGAUGAUGGGUACUUUAGGAGGACUGCCGCCGCCAAGGCGGAGGAAGGAACGGGCAACGGUAGGUCAGUAUGCCCCGAAUGGGCUGGGCAACACGCGGGCUACAAUGGCCGAGACAAUGGGUUCCCACUCCGAGAGGAGACGGUAAUCUCAGAAACUCGGUCGUAGUUCGGAUUGUGGGCUGAAACUCGCCCACAUGAAGCUGGAUUCGGUAGUAAUCGCAUUUCAGAAGAGUGCGGUGAAUGCGUCCCUGCUCCUUGCACA
rnacentral:rRNA from 1 species